rnacentral:rRNA from 1 species
AGUGAACGCUGGCGGUAGGCCUAACACAUGCAAGUCGAACGGCAGCACAGUAAGAGCUUGCUCUUACGGGUGGGGAGUGGCGGACGGGUGAGGAAUACAUCGGAAUCUACUUUUUCGUGGGGGAUAACGUAGGGAAACUUACGCUAAUACCGCAUACGACCUACGGGUGAAAGCAGGGGAUCUUCGGACCUUGCGCGAUUGAAUGAGCCGAUGUCGGAUUAGCUAGUUGGCGGGGUAAAGGCCCACCAAGGCGACGAUCCGUAGCUGGUCUGAGAGGAUGAUCAGCCACACUGGAACUGAGACACGGUCCAGACUCCUACGGGAGGCAGCAGUGGGGAAUAUUGGACAAUGGGCGCAAGCCUGAUCCAGCCAUACCGCGUGGGUGAAGAAGGCCUUCGGGUUGUAAAGCCCUUUUGUUGGGAAAGAAAAGCAGCAGGUUAAUACCCCGCUGUUCUGACGUUACCCAAAGAAUAAGCACCGGCUAACUUCGUG